rnacentral:sRNA from 1 species
UUUCUGAAAAUGUAUUCCACAAAAAUAGAGUGUUCAGAUAGUUGCAUCACAUUUAGGAUUGAGUCUAGGAUGUUUCAUAUAAGAUUGUCGCAUAUGCAUUGGGGAUUAUGAUGAGAUAGCCUUGUAAGCAUUUUUGUUCAUCGUUGCUAGUUGUCUGAUGCGUAGUCAAUGAAAUUGAAGUAAAACAGCACCAUGUCUUGAAUGCUCUACUCGAUCACACUGUUAUUAUCUGAUACCAUUUCCUAUCAAUUUGAACCUGAAUCUGACUUGCAAUUAUCAUGUCUUAGCAUCGAAUUUGAACUCAUGGAUACCAUAUACAUACUUGGGUUUUCUUUAAACUUUUCAACACCCAUGCUAACCCAAGUAGCUGCUUCCAUCAUUGAAGUAGUUUCCCUUGCCCUUAACCAAACCUUUCUUUUGAGCCCUGUUAUAUAUCUUGUGUGAUUGUGAGGCCUGUUUCAGGAUUGAGCUUGGAAGAAAGUGUUAGGUUUGAGCCGACAAGAGUAGUGUCUCAUGUAGUUCUAGUCCACGUUUUCUAGGCUAGAUAGGACUAGGUGGGUGUCUAUUCUUGAAGUGGAGAAAAAUAAGAGAGAAAGGAAAUGUUGAUGUUCUUAGGAGAAGGAAGUUGAGAAACAAGUUAGUCUAGUAAUGGAUUUUGGGGAACUAAAAAAAAAAUAUAGGCUCACAACAAAAGAAAAAAAAAGUCUAGAAAAGUCUUGAUCACAAGAAGAUAACAUGAGCCAUAGUUGUCAAAGAAAACCAAAAGUCCACUAGAUCCAUCAAAGUAAAAGAAACUUCUCCUUAGAAUAAGAGUCAACGAAAAGAAAGAGUGGUUUGAUCCAAGAUAAGAAUGAGAAAAAAAA